rnacentral:misc_RNA from 1 species
UAUGAAGAACGUAGCGAAAUGCGAUAAGUAAUGUGAAUUGCAGAAUUCAGUGAAUCAUCGAAUCUUUGAACGCACAUUGCGCCCGCCAGCAUUCUGGCGGGCAUGCCUGUUCGAGCGUCAUUUCAACCCUCGAGCCCCCCCGGGGGCCUCGGUGUUGGGGGACGGCACACCAGCCGCCCCCGAAAUGCAGUGGCGACCCCGCCGCAGCCUCCCCUGCGUAGUAGCACACACCUCGCACCGGAGCGCGGAGGCGGUCACGCCGUAAAACGCCCAACUUUCUUAGAGUUGACCUCGGAUCAGGUAGGAAUACCCGCUGAACUUAAGCAUAUCAAUAAGCGGAGGA